rnacentral:rRNA from 1 species
GAUGAACGCUGGCGGCGUGCUUAACACAUGCAAGUCGAACGGGAAUUAUUUUAUUGAGACUUCGGUCGAUUUAAUUUAAUUCUAGUGGCGGACGGGUGAGUAACGCGUGGGUAACCUGCCUUAUACAGGGGGAUAACAGUCAGAAAUGGCUGCUAAUACCGCAUAAGCGCACACAGCUGCAUGGCUCAGUGUUAAAGACUCCGGUGGAAUAAGAUGGACCCGCGUUGGAUGAGCUUGUUGGCAGGGUAACGGCCUCCCAAGGCGACGAUCCAUAGCCGGCCUGAGAGGGUGAGCGGCCACAUUGGGACUGAGACACGGCAGAGACUCCUACGGGAGGCAGCAGUGGGGAAUAUUGCACAAUGGCGGAAAUCAUGAUGCAGCGACGCCGCGUGAACGAUGAAGUAACUCAGUAUGUAAACUUCUAUCAGCAGGGAAGAUAGUGACGGUACCUGACUAAGAAGCCCCGGCUAACUACGUG